AUGGCACUGGGAUGCAUUGCAAUGCACUGGGAGGGCACCGGGAUGCAUUGCAAUGCACCGGGAUGCACUGGAAGGGCACUGGGAUGCGUUGCAGUGCACUGGGAGGGCACUGGGAUGUGUUGCAAUGCACCGGGAUGCACUGGAAGGGCACUGGGAUGCGUUGCAGUGCACUGGGAGGGCACUGGGACACAUUGCAAUGCACUGGGAGAUCACCAGGAUCCAUUGCAGUGCACUGGGAUGCACUGGGGUGGCCCUGGGAUGUAUUGCAACGCAGAGGGAGGACACCAGGAUGUAUUGCAAUGCACCAGGAUGCACUGGGAGGGCACCGGGAUGCGUUGCAGUGCACUGGGGUGUGCUGGGGAGGCACUAGGAUGCAUUGCAAUGCACUGGGAGGGCACCAGGAGGCACUGCAGUGCACUGGGCUGGCCCUGGGAAGCAUUGUGGUGCACUGGGAUGCACUGGGAGGGCACCAGGAGGCAUUGCAAUGUGCUGGAACGGCCUUGGGAUGCACUACAGUGCACUGGGAUGCAGUGGGCUGGCCCUGGGAUGCAUUGCACUGCACUGGGAUGCACUGGGCUGGCCCUGGGAUGCAUUGCAAUGUACCGGGAGGGCACUGCAGCGCACUGGGAUGAUACAGAGAUGCACUGCAAAGCCCUAGGGUGUCCUUGGCAUGCAUUGCAAUGCAGGGGGGCAGCCCUGGGAAGCACUGCGGUGGCACUGGGAUGCUUUGCAGCGCACUGGGACGGCACAGGCCUGCAUUGCAGUGCACUGGGAUGCACUGGCAUGGCCCUGGCAUCCACUGGAAUGCCCUGGGGGGGCACUGGGAUGCAAUGGUGUGGCACUGGCAUGGCACUGGGCUGCACUGGGAUGCUUUGCAAUGCACUGGGGUGGCACUGGGAGGCUCUGGGAUGCAGUGUGCCACGCAGGGACGCAGAGGGGCACACUGGGAUGGCUGGGGGGAGGCACGUCCCCUAUGUCCCCGCGUCCCUCCUGUGUCCCCAUGGCCCCAUCGGGGUGGCCUCCUGCCCUGCGCUGCCCUGA
rnacentral:lncRNA from 1 species